rnacentral:rRNA from 1 species
GACGAACGCUGGCGGCGCGCUUAACACAUGCAAGUCGAACGGAAAGGCCUGCUUUCCCUUGUGGAUUGCGGGUACUCGAGUGGCGAACGGGUGAGUAACACGUGAGUGAUCUGCCCCCAACUUGGGUAUAAGCCUGGGAAACUGGGUCUAAUUCCCGAUAGGACUGCAGGGUGGUGCCUGUGGUGGAAAACGAUUUUCUAGUGGUUGGGGAUGGGCUCGCGGCCUAUCAGCUUGUUGGUGGGGUAAUGGCCUACCAAGGCGGCGACGGGUAGCCGGCCUGGGAGGGUGGACGGCCGCAGUGGGACUGAGAUACGGCCCCGACUCCUACGGGAGGCAGCAGUGGGGAAUAUUGCACGAUGGGCGGAAGCCUGAUGCAGCGACGCCGCGUGGGGGAUGACGGCCUUCGGGUUGUAAACUCCUUUCGACCGCGAGGAAGCCACCUGGUUGGAAGGGUGGUGACGGUAGUGGUAGAAGAAGCACCGGCUAACUACGUG